rnacentral:rRNA from 1 species
AGAGUUUGAUCCUGGCUCAGAACGAACGCUGGCGGCAGGCCUAACACAUGCAAGUCGAACGGACUCUUCGGAGUUAGUGGCGCACGGGUGCGGAACACGUGGGAACAUACCCUUUGGUAAGGAAUAAUAGCUGGAAACGGCUACUAAUACCUUAUAAUGACUUCGGUCCAAAGAUUUAUCGCCAAAGGAUUGGCCCGCGCAUGAUUAGAUAGUUGGUGAGGUAAUGGCUCACCAAGUCUACGAUCAUUAGCUGGUCUGAGAGGACGAUCAGCCACACUGGAACUGAGACACGGUCCAGACUCCUACGGGAGGCAGCAGUGAGGAAUAUUGCACAAUGGGGGAAACCCUGAUGCAGCCAUGCCGCGUGUAUGAAGAAGGCCUUAGGGUUGUAAAGUACUUUCAAUAGUGAAGAUUAUGACGGUAGCUAUAGAAGAAGCCCCGGCUAAAUUCGUGCCAGCAGCCGCGGUAAUACGAAUGGGGCAAGCGUUGUUCGGAAUCACUGGGCUUAAAGCGUACGCAGGCGGAUGUGAAAGUCGGGAGUGAAAUCCCAGGGCUCAACCCUGGAACUGCUCUCGAAACUUCAUAUCUAGAAUCCGGUAGAGGUUGGUAGAAUUCCUAGUGUAGAGGUGAAAUUCGCAGAUAUUAGGAGGAAUACCAGUGGCGAAGGCGGCCAACUGGACCGGUAUUGACGCUCAUGUACGAAAGCGUGGGGAGCAAACAGGAUUAGAUACCCUGGUAGUCCACGCCGUAAACGAUGUAUGCUAGUUGUUGGGGUCUUAAGAUCUCAGUGACGCAGGGAAACCAUUAAGCAUACCGCCUGGGGAGUACGGUCGCAAGACUAAAACUCAAAGGAAUUGACGGGGACCCGCACAAGCGGUGGAGCAUGUUCCUUAAUUCGAAGCAACGCGAAGAACCUUACCCACACUUGACAUCCUUCUUGGAGCUUAUAGAGAUAUAGGCCUUCGGUUCGGCCGGACUAGAUACAGGUGCUGCAUGGCUGUCGUCAGCUCGUGUCGUGAGAUGUUGGGUUAAGUCCCGCAACGAGCGCAACCCUUAUUGUAUGUUGCCAUCAGGUUAAGCUGGGAACUCAUACGAGACUGCCGGUGAUAAGCCGGAGGAAGGCGGGGACGACGUCAAGUCAUCAUGGCCCUUACGUGUGGGGCUACAAACGUGCUACAAUGGUAGUGACAGUGGGCAGCGACCUCGCGAGGGGAAGCUAAUCUCUAAACGCUAUCUCAGUUCGGAUUGUUCUCUGCAACUCGAGAGCAUGAAGUUGGAAUCGCUAGUAAUCGCGCAUCAGCAUGUCGCGGUGAAUACGUUCCCGGGUCUUGUACACACCGCCCGUCACGUCAUGGGAGUUGGUUCUACCCGAAGGCCGUGCGCUAACCAGUUUACUGGAGGCAGCGGACCACGGUAGGGUCAGCGACUGGGACGAAGUCGUAACAAGGUA